GUCAAUCAAAACCCAAAUAUUUGUGAUCAGGUGUCAUUCUCUUUCAAUUAAAGGCCGCACAAUUUCAUAAUAGUCUACAAUAACUGCUCCCAAAGUGUAGCAAAAAUAUUUUUUAAGUCAGCUUUUCAUUAUUUAUGAGGAAACUCUAAGGCUUGUGUCUCUUACGAGGCCACAUUUCUUUUCAUCUCUAUUUUCAGUUAUUUCAGGUUUCCCCGGCAGCUUCCUUGGAGGCUGUCAGAAGUCAUGAGAUCGGCAGAACCGGUUGGAGAGUUGCAGACGCUCAAGCUCACCCAGUGCAGCCCCCGCGUUCCACAGAUGAAGACACCAGGGAAGGGAACGGCUAACCGACGGCUCGGCAUCACGCGGCGAGCUCCCGAGGGAGCCCGGAGUGGGAGCCGAGCCUCCUGCCCCGCCGCCCAGCCUUCCGUCACCACAUCCCGGCGCACCUCGCUAGGCGUGAAGAAGAAAACACCUUCCGACCAUCACUGUUGACAAAGACGUGGGGCUGCUCACCGUCCGGAGGCACAUUCCAGCUGUUCGCCGGGAUCCUUUUUCCCUAUUGGGCAAGCUCCCUCAGUGCCACAGGGGUCACGGCUGCGCGCGCCGUCGUUGACUGCAGGCACUGGGGCGGCCCUGGUCUCCGGGUAUAGCGCGGCCCACACUGUCGCUCCGGCAGCAGCUCACAGUCCUGCCAAAAAGAGCGCGCCCGCGCAGGGGGAGCGACAGGCAGAGGGAGAAGCAGCUCCCCGUGGAGCAGGGAGCCCGAGGCGGGGCUCCAUCCCAGAACCCCCAGAUCACGACCUGAGCCAAGGGAGGACGCCUCGCUGACUGAGCCACCCAGACGCCCCUUCUCAUUUGAUUUUUGUUAUAGCCCUUGGAAAAAUAAAGGUAGUUACUAUCUCUUUCUUGA